GGAAAGGGAUAUUAGGAAGUAAUCAAAAGAUAUUGAAUGAAAGAAGUAACAAGUCCUUCUCAUGCAUCAGGUGUCAAAACAAAAAUUUGAAUUGAAUAAGUUACAGAACAAAAUUUAAAAAUAGUUGGAGAUAAAAUAAAAGAACUCAUCAAGAUGAUGCACACACUCUACUCAAAUAAGAUAUUAGCAAUUUAAUCCAAAUAAAGUGCUAAAUUAACAGCUUACCUAUUAUCAGGAAGUCUACUAAGCAUAAUAAGUGAGAAACGGCAUACACCCAGAAUUUGAAGUACACUAAGGUUAAACAUUAAAUCAUGAACCACCUUUGCUCUGAACUAGACACAAAUGAAUAACUAAAAAAUUAAUCAAUAAAAACACAGCUUUUUUUGUUCCUCAUGAAUAAAAUUUUAGUUUAGGUCCAUGUUCAAUGAAAAAUAGUCAAUAACUUGUCAAGAAUUCCAAUAUAAAUUAAGCAUGUAACAGCCAAAUAAAAAAAA
rnacentral:misc_RNA from 1 species